rnacentral:rRNA from 1 species
GGACCCGCACAAGCGGUGGAGCAUGUGGUUUAAUUCGAUGCAACGCGAAAAACCUUACCUACUCUUGACAUACUUGGAAGCUCUUGUAAUGAGAGUGUGCCUUUUGGAACCAAGAUACAGGUGCUGCAUGGCUGUCGUCAGCUCGUGUCGUGAGAUGUUCCGUUAAGUCGGAUAACGAGCGCAACCCUUACCCUUAUUUGCCAGCGAUUCGGUCGGGAACUAUAAGGGGACUGCCGGUGAUAAACCGGAGGAAGGUGUGGAUGACGUCAAGUCCUCAUGGCCCUUACGGGUUGGGCUACACACGUGCUACAAUGGUGGUGACAAUGGGUUAAUCCCAAAAGCCAUCUCAGUUCGGAUUGGGGUCUGCAACUCGACCCCAUGAAGUCGGAAUC